rnacentral:lncRNA from 7 species
UUGAACUCUAAAGAUUUAUCUUGCAGUCUUUGGCACUUCAAAAUAUUAUUUUUACUACCACUGAAUUGUCUUCAUUUUCUUCCUCUCAUUUUUAUUCCUUAGUAAAUAGUUUAUAAUUAAGAAAAAAAAACUUCUUGUGGUACCAAAGCACAUCUCCUGACCCACUGCUGUGCAAAUGCAUGUAUAACCACUUGUUUGUUUGUACUUUUACAGGUGUUGGUUGCUUCUGUGCAGAUAUGGAACGUGGUUAAAGUUUUAUAAUGGAAAAUCUGACAGGCAGUUAACUAAUCCAUGAGUCAUAUUUCGUAAGUGCCUAAAGGUCUCUGAUGUUCGACCUUCAUUUGAUACCCUUGCCAUCAUGGAGUUAUACAUAACCCAUCUGAAGAACAUUCUUUAUAUAGAUGACUGCAUGCUGCCCUUUUAUACCUGCAAGAAUGAGCGCUGCACUUACUGAAACAGGGAAGUCUACUGCCUGCCUUUCCACCCCUCUCUCUCUGUGGCUGUUUACAGAACUGCAGAGCCUCAUUUGGGUGCAACUGGAUAUUGUGCCAAUUUUAUUCCAGCUCCAUUAACGUAUGGCAACAAUACAGACAGUACAUCGCCUGACAAAGAACUCAUAGUCCUCCUCUGGAUUUAUGUAGCAAGAUUUUGGCAGUGGGGUGGCCUGCAAGAAGCCAGCAGCUGCCCCGUGUCAGAUCACAGCCCUUGUAGGAGCAGCCCAGGCCUGAGCUGCAGCCCAUGGAGAGCAGCCUGCAGAGGGGCAGGAGGGCUGAGGGAGCUGCCGCCUGUGGGGAACCGUGUGGAGCAGUGCCUGAAGGGUGGGCUCCAUGGUGCGGAGCUGUGUUGGAACAGUGCUGGGAGAGCUGCAGCAUGUGGAAAGCCCAUGUGGGAUCAGACCAGGAAGGAUGCCAUCCCAUGGGACGGACCCACACAGAACAGAAGCAGAGAGUGAUCAUGGAAGAGCAGAAGACAUGAAGCUUUAUGGACUGACCGCAGCCCCCUUUCCCUAUUCCCCUGUGCUCGUUGAGGGAAGGAGGUAGGAGUUGAGCCUGAGAAAAGGUGGGUGGAGGAGAGGUGUUGUCAGUCUGUUUUUAUUUCUCAUUGCCCUAUUACUAAUAGGCCAUAAAUAAAAUAAAUCUUCCCCAAGUAGCCUAUUUUGCUUGUGACAGUAAUCACUGAGUGGUCUCCCUAUCUUUCUCUCAACCGAUGAGCUUUUCCAUUGUAUUUUCUCUUUCUGAAGAGAAGUGAGAGAGCAGCUUGGUGAGCACCUAGUGACCUGCCAAUGUUAUCCCACCACAAAAACAAUAAAAUCCUAAGUCCUUGAGCCUGCACUAAGAAUACAGAGUCAUAGAAUCUCAAGGUUGGAAAGGACCUACAAGAUCAUAUAGUUCAACUGUUCUCCCAUUACCCUUGCUACCACAAGCCACUAAACCGUAUCUCUUAGCUCCUCAUCCAGACACCUCUUGAACACCACCAGGGAUAGUGACUCCACCACCUCCCUGAGCAGGCCAUUGCAGUGCCUGACCGCUCUCUGAGAGAAAAAGUUUUUCCUUGUGUCUAAUAUCCACCAGGACUCCUAAUUUGUGUACAGGUAGAUGAGUAAAGUAGAAAAGGAAAGUGAUGAAUGCAUCCAAAGCAACAAUUACAGCACAGAGGAACCAUUGUGUCCAAACUCACUGCCCUGCUCCAGGCUUUGAGAUGUAUUCUGAAAAUACAGUUACUCUACCGGUGAUGGAUGGGGUACCCAAGCACAUGAAAGCCAACGUAGAAUUGAUGGUGUGAAGAAAACUCAUGUUAGUUAACUGUUUUAAAGUACAGAGUGGAGAGAAAUUGGAAGGAUAAGUGUUAACUGCACUGUACAAUGUUGGCCUUCCAGACCCACCUGCAGGUGCAGAAGCAGAGGGUGGACGUGCUGUAGAGAGGAACUGUGGGCUUUCCUUAGAACAGCCUGAGAGCAUUUCAGUAACCCCAGCGCUUAUGAUACGUCCCAGGGAAAUCAUACUGCAGCUGACUGCCUAGGUCACAUAUGUUUUUAAUAGAAACAUUGAAAAUUGUUUCAAGAUUGAGGCGUGUACAUGUUAAACGUUGAGGAGCUGAAGAACACAUAGAACUGUACUAAAUUGGUUUCUCAUACAGGCUGACAAAACACUCGGGAUGCAUCCUAAUCCCAAGUGCUCCCAUAAAAGCCUGCGUAUCCUUGUCCUCUCCAACCACCAAAUCAAUCUUAAACUUUUAGGCGAGGUUGCUGAACUUGCAGUCUGAUUUAAUCACUUUUCCGUCAGGAAUUGGCAAAGCUGAGAAAUAGUCUGUGGCUAACUUCAGCGUGUUUUAUAUGUUUGUGAUAUCUGUACUUUUCUAUUUUCAACGUAUAACUAAUAAAAAAAAUAAUCCCCAUUAUGCAUUUGUUAUGGAAUAAUAAUACUUACAGGAAUCAAAAGAUUACUACUAUAUGUCUUCUUUACUGCAGAAGGAGUUACAAUGAGGAGCCCUGAGGUGGCCCAGAGGGCAGGAAAGGACAACAUUCAAAACUCCAGCAACCAGUGAAAGAGGAAUUAAGGUAUUACUCACCGAAGCCUCUACAAAACCAGGCUUAAAUGCAGUUGGAAGCCUUUGCCAACUCUGGAACUCAAAUUAAAGUCUGCUAUCCCAGAAGCAAUAGCAGCCAGAGGGAAUUGGGAAGGGAUCAAGGAAGAGUGGGGUGGGAGACAAAAUCUCAAAGACCACCAAGAUGAGAGGUAUUCACCACCUUAGGCAUUAUCACACGAAGGCUGCAUGCCCUGCGGAGCCUUGAUUGCCCAACAGAAGUUAAUAUGUUGAGCACAGGGUUUCUUGGUCAGUUAUGGAGGAGGCCAAGCUAGACAAUCUGAGUCUGAAUAGUUUACAACGUGGAGUUUGAGUUUGAGCACCCUGCUGCUUGCUCUGU